AUACGGAGGGUGCAAGCGUUGUUCGGAAUCACUGGGCGUAAAGGGCGCGCAGGCGGUUUGGUAAGUCAGAUGUGAAAGCCCACGGCUCAACCGUGGAAGUGCAUUCGAAACUGCCAGACUUGAGUACCAGAGGGGAAAGUGGAAUUCCCGGUGUAGAGGUGAAAUUCGUAGAUAUCGGGAGGAAUACCGGUGGCGAAGGCGACUUUCUGGCUGGAUACUGACGCUGAGGCGCGAAAGCGUGGGGAGCAAACAGGAUUAGAAACCCCAGUAGUCC
rnacentral:rRNA from 1 species